GGCGUAGGCGAUGGUCAACAGGUUGAUAUUCCUGUACCAGUUUCUUUUGUUUGACCGAUGGAGGGACGCAGCAGGCUAAGAUAUGCCCACUGAUGGAUGUGGGUGCAAAUAAUAAGUCUGGCGAUGAGUCAAAUGCUUAUCGCUAAGGACAAGUUAUGACGCGGAGGGAAGUACAGUACCGAAGUAUCUGACGUCACACUGCCAAGAAAAGCUUCUAGGGAGAAAGCAACUGCCCGUACCGCAAACCGACACAGGUAGUCGAGAUGAGAAUUCUAAGGUGAGCGAGCGAACUCUCGUUAAGGAACUCGGCAAAAUGACCCCGUAACUUAGGGAGAAGGGGUGCUAACGCAAGUUAGCCGCAGUGAAUAGGCCCAGGCGACUGUUUACCAAAAACACAGGUCUCUGCUAAUUCGAAAGAAGAUGUAUAGGGGCUGACACCUGCCCGGUGCUGGAAGGUUAAGAGGACAAGUUAGCGUAUGCGAAGCUUUGAAUUGAAGCCCCAGUAAACGGCGGCCGUAACUAUAACGGUCCUAAGGUAGCGAAAUUCCUUGUCGGGUAAGUUCCGACCCGCACGAAAGGUGUAACGAUCUGGGCACUGUCUCAACGAGAGACUCGGUGAAAUUAUAGUACCUGUGAAGAUGCAGGUUACCCGCGACAGGACGAAAAGACCCCAUGGAGCUUUACUGUAGCUUGAUAUUGAGUGUCUGUACGGUUUGUACAGGAUAGGUAGGAGCCAUUGAACUCUGGACGC
rnacentral:rRNA from 1 species